GAUGAACGCUAGCGGCAGGCUUAAUACAUGCAAGUCGUGGGGCAGCAGGUCUGUAGCAAUACAGAUGCUGGCGACCGGCAAACGGGUGCGUAACACGUACGCAACCUUCCCGUUACUGGGGAAUAGCCCAGGGAAACUUGGAUUAAUACCCCAUAUUAUAUUGGUUAGGCAUCUGACUGAUAUCAAAGCUUCGGCGGUAACGGAUGGGCGUGCGGUUGAUUAGGUAGUUGGCGGGGUAACGGCCCACCAAGCCUACGAUCAAUAGCUGAUGUGAGGGCAUGAUCAGCCACACGGGCACUGAGACACGGGCCCGACUCCUACGGGAGGCAGCAGUAAGGAAUAUUGGGCAAUGGACGAAAGUCUGACCCAGCCAUGCCGCGUGAAGGAUGAAGGUCCUCUGGAUUGUAAACUUCUUUUAUCUGGGGCGAAAAUCGGUUAUUCUUAGCCGCUUGACAGUACCAGAUGAAUAAGCACCUGCUAACUCCGUGCCAGCCGCCGCCGUAAUAC
rnacentral:rRNA from 1 species